AAUAUUGGACAAUGGGCGCAAGCCUGAUCCAGCCAUGCCGCGUGAGUGAUGAAGGCCCUAGGGUUGUAAAGCUCUUUCAACGGUGAAGAUAAUGGCGGUAACCGUAGAAGAAGCCCCGGCCAACUUCGUGCCAGCCGCCGCGGUAAUACGAAGGGGGGGAGCGUUGUUCGGAAUUACUGGGCGGAAAGCGAACGUAGGCGGAUGGGUCAGUUAGGGGUGAAAUCCCAGGGCUCAACCCUGGAACUGCCUUUAAUACUGCUGGUCUAGAGUUCGAGAGAGGUGAGUGGAAUUCCGAGUGUAGAGGUGAAAUUCGUAGAUAUUCGGAGGAACACCAGUGGCGAAGGCGGCUCACUGGCUCGAUACUGACGCUGAGGUGCGAAAGCGUGGGGAGCAAACA
rnacentral:rRNA from 1 species